UUAACUAAAAUUGAAGUUAUGUGACCCGAAAGUUGUAGGCAGGCCGGCCCAUUUUAAGGGAUCAGUAAUUGCUGGCCUUUCUUUAAGACUUGUACAAGAGCCUCCGAGGCCCCAGCCACAGCCUCGCAUCGUUGCGUGGUGGCAGUCUGGCAGAGGCUGAGGAGGCUCACGGCCAGUUGCACAAGAUAUGGACACGAUACACCAAGAAGAAGACCACCCCUUGAUUCCUUCAAGCUCAGAUCAAACUCUACACUUGAACCGCGAACAACAACAGCCUGAAGAGUCAAAUCUGAUAAGCAAAACCUGGGUUGAAUCAAAGAAGCUAUGGUUAGUUGCGGGUCCCUCCAUCUUCAGCCGCGUUGCCAUGUUCUCCAUGACUGUCAUAACUCAAGCAUUCGCUGGCCAUCUUGGUGACCUCAAUCUUGCUGCCAUUUCCUUUGUCACCACUGUCAUUAUUUCCAUUACUUUUGGAUUCUUGUUAGGAAUGGCCAGUGCAUUAGAGACACUAUGUGGACAAGCUUAUGGAGCAAAGCAAUAUCAUAAGUUGGGUAUAUACAUGCAGCGUUCAUGGAUUAUUCUCUUCUUUUGUUCCAUUGUUUUACUACCUUUAUUCAUUUUUGCUGCUCCAAUCUUAAAGCUCAUUGGACAACCAGCCAACGUGGCGGACCAAACAGGUUUAGUUGCAGUUUGGCUAAUACCAUUUCACUUGAGCUUCCCAUUUCAGUUUACAUUGCAGAGGUUCUUACAGAGCCAACUGAAGACUGUAGUGAUUGUUUGGGUUUCUGGGGUUGCUCUUGCGGUUCAUGUGUUAGUCAGUUGGGUUUUUGUUUAUAAGUUGAGGGUUGGGAUUGUUGGGACAGCUAUCACUCUUGAUUUUUCCUGGUGGUUGUCUGUUUUGGGACUUUUUGUUUAUGCUGUUUGCGGUGGUUGUCCACUUUCUUGGACUGGUUUUUCUGCACAGGCUUUCCUUGGGCUUUGGGAUUUCUUCAAACUCUCUCUGGCCUCUGGUAUCAUGCUUUUGUUGGAGAAUUUCUAUUACAGAAUAUUAAUUAUAGUGUCUGGGUAUUUGCACAAUACUGAAAUUGCAAUUGAUGCUCUUUCAAUUUGCAUAUCAAUCUUUGUCUGGGAAUCCAUGAUUCCGCUGGGAUUUUUGGCCGGAACUGGGCUUCCCACAAGAGCAAUGAAGGAUCAAACACCCUUUGAGGCAUGGGGCAGUGAAGCUGGACUAGAAGGGGUACUUGGAGUUGGCUUUGGAGGUGCAGGUGUAGAGAGAGGUGGUAAUCCCUUGUAGGGAGUAGGAGGUGCUUUACCAAUGUAUGGGCCAGUUGCAGCUGUUGGUGGUAAUUUUGGAGGUGGAGUUGGACCUUUACCAGGGCUUGGUGGAUAUAUAUGAGGGUUUAGGGGGUGAUGCCUUACUUGGAGGAGUUGCGUUUGCAGGAUGUGGCGAGGGCAUUGGAACUGGACUAGAAGGGGUACUUGGAGUUGGCUUUGGAGGUGCAGAUUAAUGUGAUGCUGCUGGUGAUGGUGCAUUUGGAGUUUAUUUCUGGUGGUGAUACUGGGACAUUUGUCGGGGUUGGCGGAGACAUGCUGGAUAAGAUGGUAGUGGUGGCGGUGGAGGAGGCUUAUGGUGAACAUCAUGAUGAUGUGGUGCAGAUGGCUUGUGGUGACGGUGGUUGUGUUUUGGUGGAGGUGUUGUCAUGACAUGGUUGCAUGGAAGAGGAGGAGAUGGUGAAGGUGUUGGUGAUGGUGGAGGAAGAGAAUGGCAAGAUACCAAAAGGAUGUCAACAUGAAGAACUUCUUGCUUUAAGAGAUAAAGGACCACCAAAGCAUGGUUUUCUAGUACACCAUGGAGAUCAAUAUGUCCGUUUCCGUGUUAAUUUGCCUAGUUCAAUAAAUGGCCGGCAACAAGAACAUGCAAAGGAGGAAAUUAAUAAUGAAAAUGACAUCACUGUUGAAGGCAAUUGGCUUUAUCAGCAGCUAUCUACUGGUUGAAGUUACAUGUGGGAGACAGUUCCUGAGCAUGUGACGGCUCCUAAGUUUAUGAUUGAGUUUUCUCUACUCGUGCGAAUCCUACUCUUCCUCAAAAAGACAAUGGGCCAAACUUGACUCGAGGCAAUGAACAAGAUAUGCAUGCACAUGGAGGAUAUAAGAAAUGGGCCCCUUUUUUUGUGGCUUCUUCUGUUUAUAGAGGGUUCAAUUCUCUUAACAGUAGUUUCAUGAUUCAUCUGGUUAGCCAUUAUUGAGGCAUUAAAAGAGGGCAUCCUUCUUUAUCACUUGUGGUGCUAUGAUAGACUCAUAGUGGUCUAGAUGUCUGCUCGUAGAAUUGUUGACUUGCUGUAACAGCAUUUGCUUUUCGACCAUCCAAUAAA